UAAGGUUGAGGUAGUAGAUUGAAUAGUUGUGGGGUUUACGUCCUCCUUUUGAGAUAACUAUACAAUCUACUGUCUUUCCUAA
rfam:Oreochromis niloticus linkage group LG5, whole genome shotgun sequence.